AAACAGGUUAAUAUUCCUGUACUUGGUGUUACUGCGAAGGGGGGACGGAGAAGGCUAUGUUAGCCGGGCGACGGUUGUCCCGGUUUAAGCAUGUAGGCGGAGGUUCCAGGUAAAUCCGGUACCUUUUAACGCUGAGGUGUGAUGACGAGGCACUACGGUGCUGAAGUAACAAAUGCCCUGCUUCCAGGAAAAGCCUCUAAGCAUCAGGUAACACGAAAUCGUACCCCAAACCGACACAGGUGGUCAGGUA
rnacentral:rRNA from 1 species